CUCAGCUGCAGCUCAGUGAGAAGGAGAGAACUUAACUCAAACCUAUGGACUGGCUUACAGAAGCCCCCUCCACCUAUCGUCAGCCUGGCACCUGCUCUGAGGAGCCCAAGGAGAAAUGACAGACAGCGGGGCAAGAGGGGAGGGGAAUCACGAGGCUCAAGAAAGGCACCUGCAGGCAAAGAAUUAAAAUGCUACACAAUGGAUGGGGAAAAUGGAAGAAAUUGAGAGAGAAGUCCUGAGAAGGUAGCAAAUUUCAGAGGA
rnacentral:lncRNA from 1 species